rnacentral:rRNA from 1 species
GUGGGGAAUAUUGGACAAUGGGCGAAAGCCUGAUCCAGCCAUGCCGCGUGUGUGAAGAAGGUCUUCGGAUUGUAAAGCACUUUAAGUUGGGAGGAAGGGUAGUAACCUAAUACGUUGCUACUUUGACGUUACCGACAGAAUAAGCACCGGCUAACUUCGUGCCAGCAGCCGCGGUAAUACGAAGGGUGCAAGCGUUAAUCGGAAUUACUGGGCGUAAAGCGCGCGUAGGUGGUCCAGUAAGUCGGAAGUGAAAUCCCCGGGCUCAACCUGGGAACUGCUUUGAAAACUGCUGAGCUAGAGUACGGUAGAGGGUGGUGGAAUAUCCUGUGUAGCGGUGAAAUGCGUAGAUAUAGGAAGGAACACCAGUGGCGAAGGCGACCACCUGGACUGAUACUGACACUGAGGUGCGAAAGCGUGGGGAGCAAACAGGAUUAGAUACCCGGGUAGUCC